rnacentral:lncRNA from 1 species
UGAUAUUGUUCACGUGCUAAUCACGUGUUCAUCUCCUAAGCCUGGCGAGUUUACUCAGCAUCACUCGCGAUCUGACUCACCGAUCCCCGCCCCUUCCGUUCACUCCGAGAGAAGAAAAGAAAUCGUGCAAUUUCUGAUCCCGUAAACAUCAACAAUUGGCAGUUUCAUCGAGAUUCGACAGAACACGAAAAUCUCAAUACAAAAGGAAGGAGACGAUUGCGAAUUAAGGUGAAAUCUCUAAUUUCAUAGGUUUACAUAGUAAGUAAAUUUGGGGAAUGGAAGAAGCGAAAACUCAUCAGGAGCUUCGAAUUAGCUUAAUCCCCCAGCUUCUAUCCUCACAAUGUCUCACAAAAGGUGCGAUCUUUCCCGUGUUGAUUCCGGCAUUACCUUCGCAGCCAUAAGCUGGAGGGGCUGACUCAGUUUUUCUGCCAAAGGGUCUGACACGUUAUUUGUUUGGUUACUUUGGUGAUGGUUUCUACUUACUCUGGUGCCUAUAUUAUAUAUAUAUUGAUUCUCGUUUUCAUGUUGAAAGCGAGGGAAAAUAAACUGUCAUGAUGUGACGACCAUCAAGAGGUCAAGGAUUCGGGGUCGAAUUCUCUAAAAGGUAUGUUUCGAUCAUUAUCCUGACUUCCUGAGCAUGACUGCUAAAUUGGCUACAUAAUCUCUCUUAACCAUUAUGACGUCGAAUUCUCAACCGAAGCUAACUUAACUUAAUGGCAUUGCUUGUUCUGUAAAAUAGUUGUCGACUAAACCAUAUUCUAUUCUUUCUGAUUAGUUAUGUAAACUUUAGAAUGUGACUUACCAACCCAUUGCAUGCAAUAAAAUUAGCUGAUGACACCGAGAAUUGGAGUCUAAUGAUACUGUUCAUUUGUUCCAAACCGGGCAUCCAGAUAUUUUGUGGAAAUUUUGAAAUUUAACUACUAGUUGAGUGGCUUAUUUGAGAACAACUAUUACCAACCCAUUGCAUAAGUUAUGUUUGGCUCCCUGUUUUCAAAUCACAUGAUGAAAAUGUAUCACUUGUCGUGUAACAUAAGUUUGGAUUGCCUUGUGAACUGCUAAGUAAGCUUUAGCGCUGUUCAAGAAAACAAAAAAAAAUAAAUAAAUAGAUAAAGUAAGUUUUAGCAUGCGACAUAUGAACCCAUACAUACAUAAAAGUAACCGGACUCAUAUGCAUACGAGUAUUUGAGCUAGCUAUAUGAGAGUAGUAGUAGGCAAAAUGGGGAGUGGAAAGAAGCUAAAACUCAUAGCGGAACUUGAACUAGCUUUAGUCCCCAGCUUCUAUCCUCACAAUAUCUCACAUAAGGGACCAUAUUUCCUGUCUUGAUUCCGGUCUUACCUUUACAGCCAUAUGCUGGAGGUGAAUGGAAACACGGUUCCAUGGACAUGGCACAACCACAUGGGGGAUCAGGAACUUUGUGGUUUACAGGCUUGUAAAGUAUCCAAGGCUUUAAUCCGCCAAGACCUUGAGCUACGUAUCCAAAAGUAGACCAACCGCUGGUCACAAGUUUAUCAGUUAGGCUUAGAAGAUACAUCUCGGCGAGCGCCCUUUGGUCAUGACGCUUCUUGUCUGUCUGCUGAUGCCCUUCUUGACUUGGCUGGUGAACUACAACAAUGUCUCCUGUUGAACUCGGGUAUUCCCAGUACAUACUCUUGAGAUUCUCUGAAUAUCCAGAACUCAGAGAAGUAACUAGCACGGCUUUCACUUUGGCGCUUUUUGAUACAUUGACUUGUGUUUCUUCUUCUUGUGGAGCUGCUUCAGGCAACAGUUUCUCUCUUUGUGUACAGGCUAGGAUCUGGUCCAUGACAUGCUGGAGAUAUAUAGCGCGUUCGCCAAAAACCCGUACUUGAAUCCCGAGUGUCUCAUCUGCCCUAGACAAGUAAG